GAUGAACGCUGGCGGCGUGCCUAAUACAUGCAAGUCGAGCGAACGGACGAGAAGCUUGCUUCUCUGAUGUUAGCGGCGGACGGGUGAGUAACACGUGGAUAACCUACCUAUAAGACUGGGAUAACUUCGGGAAACCGGAGCUAAUACCGGAUAAUAUUUUGAACCGCAUGGUUCAAUAGUGAAAGACGGUUUUGCUGUCACUUAUAGAUGGAUCCGCGCUGCAUUAGCUGGUUGGUAAGGUAACGGCUUACCAAGGCAACGAUGCAUAGCCGACCUGAGAGGGUGAUCGGCCACACUGGAACUGAGACACGGUCCAGACUCCUACGGGAGGCAGCAGUAGGGAAUCUUCCGCAAUGGGCGAAAGCCUGACGGAGCAACGCCGCGUGAGUGAUGAAGGUCUUCGGAUCGUAAAACUCUGUUAUUAGGGAAGAACAUAUGUGUAAGUAACUGUGCACAUCUUGACGGUACCUAAUCAGAAAGCCACGGCUAACUACGUG
rnacentral:rRNA from 1 species